UACGAAAGGGGCUAGAGUUAUUCGGAAUUACUGGGCGUACAGCGCACGGAGGCGGCCUGCCAAGUUAGGGGUGAAAGCCCAGAGCUCAACUCUGGAAUUGCCUCUAAAACUGGUAAGCUCGAGGAUGUGAGAGGUGAGUGGAAUUCCGAGUGUAGAGGUGAAAUUCGUAGAUAUUCGGAAGAACACCGGUCGCGAAGGAGAAUCUCGGGCACAUUUCUGACCUUGAGGUGGGAAAGCGUGGGGAGCAAACAGG
rnacentral:rRNA from 1 species